rnacentral:rRNA from 1 species
GACGAACGCUGGCGGCGUGCUUAACACAUGCAAGUCGAACGGAAAGGCCCUGCUUUUGUGGGGUGCUCGAGUGGCGAACGGGUGAGUAACACGUGAGUAACCUGCCCUUGACUUUGGGAUAGCUUCAGGAAACUGGGGCUAAUACCGGAUAGGAGCUCCUGCUGCAUGGUGGGGGUUGGAAAGUUUCGGCGGUUGGGGAUGGACUCGCGGCUUAUCAGCUUGUUGGUGGGGUAGUGGCUUACCAAGGCUUUGACGGGUAGCCGGCCUGAGAGGGUGACCGGCCACAUUGGGACUGAGAUACGGCCCAGACUCCUACGGGAGGCAGCAGUGGGGAAUAUUGCACAAUGGGCGGAAGCCUGAUGCAGCAACGCCGCGUGCGGGAUGACGGCCUUCGGGUUGUAAACCGCUUUCGCCUGUGACGAAGCGUGAGUGACGGUAAUGGGUAAAGAAGCACCGGCUAACUACGUGCCAGCAGCCGCGGUGAUACGUAGGGUGCGAGCGUUGUCCGGAUUUAUUGGGCGUAAAGGGCUCGUAGGUGGUUGAUCGCGUCGGAAGUGUAAUCUUGGGGCUUAACCCUGAGCGUGCUUUCGAUACGGGUUGACUUGAGGAAGGUAGGGGAGAAUGGAAUUCCUGGUGGAGCGGUGGAAUGCGCAGAUAUCAGGAGGAACACCAGUGGCGAAGGCGGUUCUCUGGGCCUUUCCUGACGCUGAGGGGCGAAAGCGUGGGGAGCGAACAGGCUUAGAUACCCUGGUAGUCCACGCUGUAAACGGUGGGUACUAGGUGUGGGGUCCAUUCCACGGGUUCCGUGCCGUAGCUAACGCUUUAAGUACCCCGCCUGGGGAGUACGGCCGCAAGGCUAAAACUCAAAGGAAUUGACGGGGCCCCGCACAAGCGGCGGAGCAUGCGGAUUAAUUCGAUGCAACGCGUAGAACCUUACCUGGGUCUGACAUGGAUCGGGAGUGCUCAGAGAUGGGUGUGCCUCCUUUGGGGUCGGUUCACAGGUGGUGCAUGCCUGUCGUCAGCUCGUGUCGUGAGAUGUUGGGUUAAGUCCCGCAACGAGCGCAACCCUUGUUCACUGUUGCCAGCACGUUAUGGUGGGGACUCAGUGGAGACCGCCGGGGUCAACUCGGAGGAAGGUGGGGAUGACGUCAAGUCCUCAUGCCCCUUAUGUCCAGGGCUUCACGCAUGCUACAAUGGCUGGUACAGAGAGUGGCGAGCCUGUGAGGGUGAGCGAAUCUCGGAAAGCCGGUCUCAGUUCGGAUUGGGGUCUGCAACUCGACCUCAUGAAGUCGGAGUCGCUAGUAAUCGCAGAUCAGCAACGCUGCGGUGAAUACGUUCCCGGGGCU